ACUUCUCUCACUCCCAAUAGUCUUUAAAUAUUAACUCUAGUUUGUCAGGAUGAACUGCUAUAUUUGUUCUCCGCACAUCCUGCUGGAAGGGUAUCUUAUAGUGACAGUAUCAUUUCACAGGCUCUGUGAUGCAAAUUCUGUACUUGAGCCCAACGGUUCAAGCAUAAAAAUACUCAACUAAGAUUAUGGUGGACUAGUUCAUUUCAGUGCUAGGUGAGUGAUGAGG